AAGUCGUAACAAGGUUUCUUUCCGCAGCAGUGCUAUGGAGACCAUGCAACCCCUCGGGGAGGCAGCGCGACAAUAAACAAGGCUGCUGCUUGCAAGUUGGUGAAUACCAGCAACACAACCGAACUGACGGGGACCUCCUCAAGCCUACAGCACCAACCAUCCGGGGAAACUCGGACGGGGCCCUUACGGGGUGGUAAUAGCCUGUAGGAUACGUGGACAAUCCGCAGCGAAGUCCCUAACAGCGUAAGCUCACGGGAAUCGUUCACAGACUAAGUGGUUGUGGGCUAGAUUUUAAAUCUGGUCUAAGAUAUAGUCGGUCCCCGCCUGAAAGGGCGAGGAAUUCUGCGUCCGUAGGUGAACCUGCGGAAGGAUCAUUAGUCUAUGUGGUACCCGUAAGGGCAUAUCCACGUCGGGUCUCGCCGUAAAAAGUGGGGCUGUCUGAAAACCCUUGAAUAUAAAACUUUGUUGCUUUGGCGGGCCGCCUCUCGAGGCGUCGGCUCACGCUGACCGUGCCCGCCAGAGGCCCAAAACUCUAUUGUCUCUGACGUCUGAGUACUAUAUAAUAGUUAAAACUUUCAACAACGGAUCUCUUGGUUCUGGCAUCGAUGAAGAACGCAGCGAAAUGCGAUAAGUAAUGUGAAUUGCAGAAUUCAGUGAAUCAUCGAAUCUUUGAACGCACAUUGCGCCCCCUGGUAUUCCGGGGGGCAUGCCUGUUCGAGCGUCAUUAUGACCAAUCCCGCAAGGGGUCUUGGGGUCCGCGGUUCUCUGCGGCCCUUAAAAUCAGUGGCNGCGCCGCCGGUGCUCUCAGCGUAGUAAUACUCCUCGCUCGGGAACCACGGUGGAUGCUUGCCAGCAACCCAACUUAUAUUAGGUUGACCUCGGAUCAGGUAGGGAUACCCGCUGAACUUAAGCAUAUCAAUAAGCGGAGGAAAAGAAACCAACAGGGAUUACCUCAGUAACGGCGAGUGAAGCGGUAACAGCUCAAAUUUGAAAUCUGGCUCUUUCAGGGUCCGAGUUGUAAUUCGUAGAAGAUGCUUUGGGCGUGGCUCCGGUCUAAGUUCCUUGGAACAGGACGUCAUAGAGGGUGAGAAUCCCGUACGUGACUGGGUGCCUUCGUCCGUGUAAAGCUCUUUCGACGAGUCGAGUUGUUUGGGAAUGCAGCUCAAAAUGGGUGGUAAAUUUCAUCUAAAGCUAAAUAUUGGCCAGAGACCGAUAGCGCACAAGUAGAGUGAUCGAAAGAUGAAAAGCACUUUGGAAAGAGAGUUAAACAGUACGUGAAAUUGUUGAAAGGGAAGCGCUUGCAAUCAGACUUGCGUGCGGUUGAUCAUCCGAGGUUUUCCCCGGUGCACUCGAUCGUACUCAGGCCAGCAUCGGUUUGGGCGGUUGGAUAAAGGCCUUGGGAAUGUGGCUCCUCUCGGGGAGUGUUAUAGCCCUCGGUGCAAUGCAGCCUGUCCGGACCGAGGACCGCGCUUCGGCUAGGAUGCUGGCGUAAUGGUUGUAAGCGACCCGUCUUGAAACACGGACC
rnacentral:rRNA from 1 species